rnacentral:lncRNA from 1 species
CCUUACGAACGACAAGGGAUUUGAGCAUCUUUCGUUGUUUCUAUGGAGCCAAGAAAUACUCCAUUUCGACACUAUUACCGCUUGGUAUGGUCUGUUCUGUCCAGGUCGUCCGGUGUAUUUUUGUAUUCUGGAUGAAGUGGUUCGGAUACCAUGUCGAGGAUUCAUGCUUUUCACUCUAUCUCGACUUUUCUUCAGUAUCCGAAGUAGAAAAUGAGGACACCUCAAAAUCAAGAAAGUCAAACGGGAAUUAAGGAAGGAAAUGCAUGACAACUUCUGACAAGACUGACUGGUGAAUAUCCCUGAUGCUUCAAGCACGAAUCAAACAAGAAGGACAUGAUCCAAGUGAAAGACGAGAUUUAUUCAGAGGUACAAAACAGGUGUAGCGCACUUUUUUUGCAACAAACUUUCGAAUCAGAACUGAGAUUGAAAACGCUAAAAAUGCUGUGAUUUUUGUCAGUUUAAUUCAUGUUGAGGGCUGUUUUAGGAGGAAAAAGUUCCCGCCAAAAGACUUAGAAAAAUACGGCACCCAAAAUACGCACGCGUCAAUUUUUUUUUUUUUUAUUACAUUUUCUAAUAUAGCCUACAUUGCUAAUAAACUGAACAUGUAUUUGCUUGUUGUAUUAUUAUUAUCAUGAAUAAAAGAACAGUGAUGAGAAUUUGUGUCAUCUUUUAUUGUCCUAGCUUACAAUAUGUACUCAAUAAACUAGAAACGUUUCAUAAUCGAACAAAGUGUUUUGUAUUCUCUUUAAUCACAAGUUAAUUAAUAGAAAAGGUGUUUAGAAGUAUGUUUCGUAUAUAUACUAAGACUUUUGGCGGGAAAAUGUGGACCAAUUUGCACAGAGGUUCCCCUGGCAACAUUUUGGGCAAAAAUUUUAAAAAGGCCUCCUUCGAAAGUUCCCGCCGCAAAAUAAUUAGAAAGCAUCUCGUGCAAAAUAACUAAUGAGUAAACCCAGAUUAUCCUCUCUUAGAGAAAAUCGAAGCAGUCCAAACAAUUUUGUUUCCUUUAAAAGAAAUCCUGAUUCGAAAGUCUAUCUCCCAAACGUUUUUGUACUUCAAUUGUUUGCACGAGAUGUGUUGAAGUUUUUAACGAAAGAGCAUCUUGGCAAACUAUAGAGCAUUCAAUCAGAAAUAUGCAAUCUCCAAAAUUGUGUUCAAUUUCUUUUAAAUUUAAAGUUCAUUUUGAAACCCAAUCAAUUUUUGAUUGAGCCCAAAGCUUCCCAUUAUGUCUUUUUCGGAGUAAAAGAUCUUUACAGCCGCCAUUUUCGAAUGUAACACAGGACACAGGAUGCAAAAACACCGAAAACACUUUAUCCAAGACACAGAACUAGGAUUUACAGACAGAAAGCCUCUUAUUUUUCACCUAAUUAAAAUGAAAAAAAAAAAAAACACUGAAAUAUUGAGGAAUACUAUCUGACUUCGACAAAAUUCAAUUAAGCCGCAAAAGCUAAUAUAUUUCAUUAUCACGGUCCAAAUUUACUUUAAAUUCGAGAAGAAAUUUGACAAAUUAGUAUCAAUAGAAAGAAGCUGGAGCGAACUCUUUCAAUUUGAUUUUGGCCUUCAAAGUUAAGACAAAAACAAUUAGGCUCCAAGUUCCUUAAACUAGAUUCGAGAGGCAGUUUGGGAAAUAAAUUGAAAUAAAGUGUUGGAGCAAAUUCUUUGAGUUCGAUUUUAGCCUCUUAGGCUCAAAGACGUUUCACAAUUUGGCUUGAAGUAAUAACAUAAUAUUAAAAAUAAUAAUUCUUGCAUCGAAUUGUUUCAAGGAGAUUUAUUCGUCAACGGCGUCCAGUUUCUGUUUUAUUAUAGACUGAAUUCAAUGCAUGAAGAUCAAAAUUUUAAACUUUUGCUUAUCUUUCUUUCUGUGUUCCUGUGUUACACCUAGUGACCGCACAAAAGAUCUCCUUACCACUUACAAUAAGGAGUAAAUAAUAACUAAAAUAUAUUUUAAAACCAAAUGCCUGGUCCAAAGGCAUUUGGGUCAAAUGCCUGGAUA